GACGAACGCUGGCGGCGUGCUUAACACAUGCAAGUCGAACGGAAAGGCCUGCUUUCCCUUGUGGAUUGCGGGUACUCGAGUGGCGAACGGGUGAGUAACACGUGAGUGAUCUGCCCCCAACUUGGGUAUAAGCCUGGGAAACUGGGUCUAAUUCCCGAUAGGACUGCAGGGUGGUGCCUGUGGUGGAAAACGAUUUUCUAGUGGUUGGGGAUGAGCUCGCGGCCUAUCAGCUUGUUGGUGGGGUAAUGGCCUACCAAGGCGGCGACGGGUAGCCGGCCUGGGAGGGUGGGCGGACAAUUUGGGACUGGGAUACGGCCCAGACCCCUACGGGAGGCAGCAGUGGGGAAUAGUGCACAAUGGGCGGAAGCCUGAUGCAGCGACGCCGCGUGGGGGAUGACGGCCUUGGGGGUGUAAACUCCUUUCGACCGCGAGGAAGCCACCUGGUUGGAAGGGUGGUGGCGGUAGUGGUGGAAGAAGCACCGGCUAACUACGU
rnacentral:rRNA from 1 species